UACGGAGGGGGCUAGCGUUGUUCGGAAUUACUGGGCGUAAAGCGCGCGUAGGCGGACCUGCAAGUCGGGGGUGAAAGCCCGAGGCUCAACCUCGGAACUGCCUUCGAUACUGCGGGUCUCGAGUCCGGGAGAGGUGAGUGGAACUCCGAGUGUAGAGGUGAAAUUCGUAGAUAUUCGGAAGAACACCAGUGGCGAAGGCGGCUCACUGGUCCGGUACUGACGCUGAGGUGCGAAAGCGUGGGGAGCAAACAGG
rnacentral:rRNA from 1 species